GAGAUAGAUCGACAGCAAUGGCACGUCUUACGGUAGGUACUUCAUGGGUAGAUGAAUUACCCGCAGUGUUGCUAGGCUUAAGAGCGGCACCAAGGAGUGAUACCGGGAUAAGUGCAGCUGAACUUACGUUUGGUAGAACCCUAAGGUUACCAGGAGAUUUUUAUGAUGACGCCACAAUAAAAAUCUCCGAGUCAGAAUAUUUAAAUAAGUUAAAAGAUUCCAUUGGUAAAAUUAAGCCCAAACCAGAAUCGCACGGUAAUAGUAGAACGUUGUUUGUUCAUCCAGAUUUACAAGUGUGUGAGUAUGUUUUCCUAAGAAAUGACACCGUACGCCGUUCACUGCAGCCUCCUUACGACGGUCCUUAUCGAGUUGCGAAGCGCAGUGGUAAAGUAUUUCUUAUUCAGAUAGGUGACAGGUUGAGUUCUGUAUCGAUCAAUCGACUAAAACCGGCGUAUCUACAAAAUGAAUCGGUAAGUAUGGACAUUCCCGAAAACGACAAUUUGGUAAAAACUACCCGGAGUGGAAGAGUAGUUAAGAAACCAAUUCGUUUCAUGGAAACGUAGUUGUAAUGAUUCGAUUAUAUAUUAUAGUAUUAAAAUUUCUAAAGUUAGUGUUCAGUAUAUAAUAAGUAUUAUAAUGUUGUAUUGGUUUCAUAAUUUUAGCUAAUAGGUAUACAUAAGUAGAACGAUGCAAUUGUCUUACGCAGCACAACUCUUUAUAUUUUUACCCGGAAUGGUG